rnacentral:rRNA from 1 species
AUGAACACCCCAGGUACUGCUGCACGGGGGAGAUGGAUUCCAGCCACAGGUGAUCAUGCUAAAAUCAAUGUUGACGCUGCUGUUUUCCGUGGAGUUGGUGCCGCUGCUGUAGUUUGCAGGACGAACGACGGACAUUACCUGGGGUCCUCGGUGCUUGUGACUAGAGGUCUGGUUGAUCCACCUACUUUGGAAGCUAUGACAUGCAGAGAGGGACUAUCGUUAGCGGAAGAUCUGGGGCUCCAGAAAAUCGUUAUUGCGUCUGACUGUCAAGAGGUGGUGAAACACAUCAACGAGAAGUCAGGUGGGAGUUACGGUGCAGUUGUAAAAGAGAUUAUUUCAUGGCAAUCUUCUUUUAUUUCUUGCUGUUUUAAGUUUGAAUUUAGAGCCUCGAAUUUCGAGCCUCAUAAACUAGCUAGGCAUGCUGUAAAGUUAGAUCAUGGCCGCUACAUUUGGUUGGGGCAAUCACAUGAUACUGCUGUAAUACAGGUAGCAAUACCAAUUUCUGAAUAA